rnacentral:rRNA from 1 species
AAACUUUCAACAACGGAUCUCUUGGUUCUCGCAUCGAU